UUCCUGACAACUGGGCUCUUGAGGAUCCCAACCUUAGACUUGAGUCAAAAUCCCGAGGCUGACCAGGCGCUGCUGUACCCUUCUCCAGACGCUUUUUGCCACAUUAACUCGCCUGGGCUGCACAGUAGGCAGAGAGCAUGCGAUCCCCUCCAAACUGGACAGCGGCAGCAGGGCUGGAGGGGACUGCCAGGCCAGGAGAGGUCGAGGAGGGCGACGCUGUGAGCCAGCGCGGCCGCUAGGGGGAGCCAACCUUCGGGCCGACGUCUCGACCCCGCCCCAGCCUCUCGGCUCCUCUCGGCUCGGCUCGGGCGCGGCGACGGCGGCGCGCGCUUCCGCCUCACGGGCUCUGGCCCGGUGCGAGCGGCCGCGGGAUGUGGCUCGGGCCCGAGGAGGUGCUGGUGGCUAACGCGCUAUGGGUGACGGAGCGGGCCAACCCCUUCUUCGUGCUGCAGCGGCGCCGAGGCCACGGCAAGGGCGGAGGCCUCACGGGUCUUCUUGUGGGCACCCUGGAUGUGGUGCUGGACUCCAGCGCCCGUGUGGCCCCUUACCGCAUCCUGCACCAGACCCAGGACUCGCAGGUCUACUGGAUAGUGGCAUGUGGUUCUUCCCGAAAAGAGAUCACCAAACACUGGGAAUGGCUGGAAAACAACUUGCUUCAGACACUGUCCAUCUUCGACAACGAGGAGGACAUCACUACCUUCGUCAAGGGCAAGAUACACGGCAUCAUCGCAGAAGAGAACAAGAACCUGCAGCCCCAGGGGGACGAGGACCCAGGGAAAUUCAAGGAGGCAGAGCUAAAGAUGCGGAAGCAGUUCGGCAUGCCAGAGGGCGAGAAGCUGGUCAACUACUACUCCUGUAACUUCUGGAAGGGCCGCGUGCCGCGCCAGGGCUGGCUCUACCUGACCGUCAACCACCUGUGCUUCUACUCCUUCCUGCUGGGGAAGGAAGUGAGCCUGGUGGUACAGUGGGUGGACGUCACACGCCUGGAGAAGAAUGCCACUUUACUCUUCCCCGAGAGCAUCCGUGUGGACACACGGGACCAGGAGCUGUUUUUCUCCAUGUUCCUAAACAUUGGCGAGACCUUCAAGCUUAUGGAGCAGCUGGCCAACCUGGCCAUGCGACAACUGCUGGACAGCGAGGGCUUCCUGGAGGACAAGGCCCUACCCAGGCCUAUCCGGCCACAUAAGAACAUCUCAGCUCUAAAGCGAGACCUAGAUGCCCGAGCCAAGAAUGAGUGCUACAGGGCCACGUUCCGGCUACCCAAAGACGAGCGGCUGGAUGGCCACACAGGCUGCACCCUAUGGACGCCAUUUAACAAGCUACAUAUCCCCGGCCAGAUGUUCAUCUCCAAUAACUACAUCUGCUUUGCCAGCAAGGAGGAAGAUGCGUGCCGCCUCAUCAUACCCCUGAGGGAGGUGACCAUUGUUGAAAAAGCCGACAGCUCCAGCGUCCUCCCCAGCCCUCUGUCUAUCAGCACCAAGAGUAAAAUGACCUUCCUGUUUGCCAACCUGAAAGACCGUGACUUCCUGGUUCAGAGGAUCUCUGACUUCCUCCAGAAAACGCCGUCCAAGCAGACGGGCAGCAGCAUUGGGGGAACAAAGGCCAGUGUUUCAGACCCAGCCCCAGAGUCUCUCCCAACUCCACAGGAGGCUUCUGAGCCACCCGCAAGCCCAUCCUCUCCCCUCAGCAGCCCUCCGAGUUUCAGUACCCAGGAGAUUCCUACUACUUCCCAGGGCCUGCUCAAAGUCUUCCAGAAGAACUCACCCAUGGAGGACCUUGGCGCCAAAGGGGCCAAGGAGAAGAUGAAGGAGGAAUCCUGGAACAUCCACUUCUUUGAGUACGGGCGUGGCAUGUGCAUGUACCGAACAGCCAAAACCCGGGAGCUGGUCCUGAAAGGCAUCCCUGAGAGCCUCCGAGGGGAGCUUUGGCUCCUCUUCUCUGGGGCCUGGAAUGAGAUGGUGACCCAUCCCGGCUACUACGCUGAGCUAGUGGAGAAGUCCCUGGGGAAGUACAGCUUGGCUACCGAGGAGAUAGAGCGGGACCUCCAUCGCUCCAUGCCCGAGCACCCUGCUUUCCAGAAUGAGCUCGGGAUCGCUGCGCUCCGGCGGGUGCUGACUGCCUACGCCUUCCGAAACCCUACUAUUGGCUACUGCCAGGCAAUGAACAUCGUGACUUCCGUGCUCCUGCUCUACGGCAGUGAGGAGGAAGCCUUCUGGCUGCUGGUGGCCCUGUGUGAGCGCAUGCUGCCCGACUACUACAACACCAGGGUAGUGGGAGCCCUCGUAGACCAGGGCAUCUUUGAAGAGCUCACGAGAGAUGUCCUGCCCCGGCUCUCAGAGAAGAUGCAAGAGCUGGGGGUGAUCUCCAGCAUCUCGCUGUCCUGGUUCCUGACCCUCUUCCUCAGCGUCAUGCCCUUUGAGAGCGCCGUGGUCAUUGUCGACUGCUUCUUCUACGAGGGCAUCAAGGUGAUCCUGCAGGUGGCCCUGGCUGUGCUGGACGCCAACGUGGAGCAGCUGCUGGACUGCAAUGACGAGGGCGAGGCCAUGACCGUGCUGGGCAGGUACCUGGACAAUGUGGUCAACAAGCAGAGCAUUUCUCCACCUAUCCCACACCUCCACGCUCUGCUGACCAGUGGAGAUGACCCUCCUGUGGAGGUGGACAUCUUUGACCUCCUGAGAGUAUCCUACGAGAAGUUCAGCAACCUGAGGGCUGACGACAUUGAACAGAUGCGGUUUAAACAGAGGCUGAAGGUGAUCCAGUCCUUGGAAGACACGGCUAAGAGAAGCGUGGUCCGAGCCAUACCAGGGGACAUCGGCUUCUCCAUUGAAGAGCUGGAGGAUCUUUACAUGGUGUUUAAGGUGGGAUGUACCAUGGAGACCUCACUGAGAAGCUCAAGGCGCUCUACAAACUGCACCUGCCCCCAGCUCUGAUCCCAGAGGAAGCCGAGUCAGCCCUGGAGGCCGCCCAUUACUUCACAGAGGAUAGCUCCUCGGAAGCAUCUCCUCUGGCCUCAGAUCUGGAUCUUUUCCUGCCCUGGGAGGCUCAAGCACUGCUACAGGAGCAGCAGGAAGGAAGUGGAAAUGAGGACACCCCAGAAAGAAGAGAGGAGAAGGGGACCAGCCCUCCUGACUACCGACACUACCUUCGAAUGUGGGCUAAGGAAAAAGAGGCUCAGAAGGAAACCAUUAAGGACCUUCCCAAGAUGAACCAGGAGCAAUUCAUCGAGCUGUGUAAAACACUUUACAACAUGUUUAGCGAAGACCCUAUGGAACAGGACUUGUAUCAUGCCAUCGCCACUGUGGCCAGCCUUCUCCUCCGCAUUGGUGAGGUGGGGAAGAAGUUUUCGGCCCUGACAACCAAGAAGCCCAGGGAUGGUGCCCACAGUGGGGAUCCCAACAGUGCCACAGAAGAGGAUGAACCACCCACACCCAAACUCCAUCAGGACCCAACACAGGAAUGUCAGCCACCAGCUGCAGGGGACCGGCAGGCCAAAGCCAGUGGCGACAUGCAUCUCGGGAAAGCAUUGCAGGAUAGUCAUGUGAUAGUGGAGGGAGGCAGCGGUGAGGGGCAGGGCUCUCCUUCCCUGCUUUUGUCUGAUGAUGAAACCAAAGAUGACAUGUCCAUGUCCUCUUACUCAGUAGUCAGCACGGGCUCACUGCAGUGCGAGGACCUCACGGAAGACACGGUGCUGGUGGGAGGAGGAGCCUGCAGCCCCACCGCCACCUCACGGGCGGGGGGCACUGUGGACACAGACUGGUGCAUUUCCUUCGAGCAGAUCCUGGCCUCCAUCCUAACAGAGUCUGUGCUAGUGAACUUCUUUGAGAAGAGGGUAGACAUUGGACUCAAGAUCAAGGACCAAAAGAAAGUAGAAAGGCAGUUUAGCACCUCCAGUGACCAUGAGCCCCCUGGGGUCUUGGGCUGAACUGUGAAAUGGAAGGCAGUCUCUGUCUCCUUCCUUCUCCCUCGCUGUUUUCUCCUCACAGACACACCUGUUCUUGGAGCAGGGUGUCACAGAAGCAAAGGAGGUCAGGUCCACGCAGACCCAGUUGCCUUACAGGGAUUCCCUAGGCCAGGGCAACCUCUUCCUCCCUGCUCUUGGUUACCUGGAGGACCUGCUUUGAGCCUCCUGUUCCCAUAGCAUUAGAGGCUUUUGGAUCUGCCCCUGCCUGCUUCUUGCCCCUGCACCCUGUGCUGUGCACACACUACACUGGUUGCACCAUCUAUGGAAAGACCUACAGCCAUGUGGCCUGGCCACCAAUUGUCACUUUGCCAUGUGCUUGGGCCCCAAAGGAUGCAACCUUCUAGACACCCUCUGAAGUUCUUCAGCCUGAACCUGCGUCUUAGGACUGAGGAACGCAGGGGAAUGUCUGUCGCAUGGGUAGGAGCCUUGCACUGCACACCCAACUUACGAGGACUCCAUUCCUCUGCAUCAUUAACUUGGAAAGUGCACCCCUCAGGUCCUCCUCUAGAACCCUGCCCUCAUUUUAGUUGGCUAAAAACCACACUGUGCUCAAUGCCUUAAUAAAUCCCUGAAAGAAAGAAAAAGCACACUGUGUGCAGUGCUUUUCCUGUGGCUUUCAGUCUGUGUAUGCUUUCUUCCCAAGUCAGGUAUAUGGCCCAGAAAGCAUUGUGGGGAGUUCAGUUCACUUGGCUGCCUGUAGUAGGUGAGGGGAUUGCUAGACUUUCCAUGGUACACAGUAACUGUAGUCACAGGUCUUAGGCUCAGUGUCCAAAGAUGUAUGAAUAUAGUAGAUACAUCCUCAGGCCUGAGUCACACCAAGUUGUCAGCCCUUUGGUUCAGGAAGCAGACAUGGCCAGAGCAGGACUCAGCCAUGAGUUAGCCCUGGCUGUUUAGCAGGACAGAGGCAUCCAUGUGCCCAAGAGCUGCUUUUGCUUCUACCAACAAAUGGAUCCUGAUAAAGCCAAGUGCGGUGGGUGGCAUGUCUAUAAUCCUGCCCUUGAGGAUGAAGUAAGACAAUUGUGUUGUUUGAGGCCAACCCUAAGCUACAUGUGGAGAUCCUGUCUCAAAAAGCUAAAAUAAAUAAGAAGACAUUAGGUAUUAUUUACAACAAUACUUUAAACUUUGCUGAUUCCCAGCACGAAUGUAAAAGCUGGGCAUGGUCAUGCCCACCUGUGCCCCAGUGCUGGUGAUCAGAGAUGGGCAGCCUAACCAGAUAGCCAGCUUCAGGUUCAGUGAGAAACCCUGCCUCAAGGGAAUAACGCAGAGCGAUGAAAUGGGACAUGCUGGUCUCUGCCCACACCACCACACAAAUACUAAAUAAAAAAUUUUUUAAAAAUUA